rnacentral:lncRNA from 10 species
CAUGGACACAGAAGGAUUCUGAAAUGAUUUUAGAUAUUUCGUGGUAUUGAGCAAAUCAGUAAACACAUUGUUGUUGAGAUCCAGAGUUCUCACUGUGGAGAAGAAAGUUACAAAUACAGAAAGAGAGAAGACAUGGAUGUAAGAAGAAUGGACUGCAAUUGGAGGGACUCUAGUCCUGACUUAAUGUAUCAAACGAAGCUCCAGGAUUUAAUCAAGAAAGGAGGCCAUCAGGAAAAAGAAAAUCAACUCUGAAGCUUAGCUGAAAAUAAUUUGCAUUUUGGGAGCUGUGCGUUAGGGAUGUUUGGUCCAAGCUCUUUCAUGGGGAGAUAAAAUGAAAAUGAUGUGCUUUAUUACUUUGAAAGUCAUACCCUUCUAAUAACAGGGAGAAUAGGAAGCUUUUCUGAUUUAUUCUGCUGAACCAUCACUAUCUGGAGUCAUUUGCACUCAUGGACCAUUGGGAGAACAUUAAUUGACCAAAAAGAGGCUGCUGUUAUUGUCGAGGCAGCAUUGUGUAUCCUUCUGAAAUGGCUGAUCCUGACCUGGGCUCUUGACUUUGCCCCCUCAGACUCUAGCUUUUAUGGGACUGGAUGGAUCUACUGCCAGAGGUCAAGUAGUGCCAGACUGAAAAGCUUUAUCAAUUCCAGAACCUCACCGAGUACCUCCUACUAGGAAAUUUGAAUGUGAACACCUUGGUAACAUCUCAACCACGCACUUGGGAGCUUUUGCCUAUAAUUCAAAGCAAACCGAAAAAGAAAUUAUUCCCACCAUGUUGCAAAAAUUGAAAUGGAAAAAGAACUGUUGAUUCUAAUUCCUCAACCCAGGACUUCAGAUGCCAAUAAUGAUUGCAAAGAAUAAACACCCACUGAGUGCAUCUCAGAAACCGAA